rnacentral:rRNA from 1 species
AGCGAACGCUGGCGGCAGGCUUAACACAUGCAAGUCGAGCGGGCGUAGCAAUACGUCAGCGGCAGACGGGUGAGUAGCGCGUGGGAACAUACCUUUUGGUUCGGAACAACACAGGGAAACUUGUGCUAAUACCGGAUAAGCCCUUACGGGGAAAGAUUUAUCGCCGAAAGAUUGGCCCGCGUCUGAUUAGCUAGUUGGUGAGGUAAUGGCUCACCAAGGCGACGAUCAGUAGCUGGUCUGAGAGGAUGAUCAGCCACAUUGGGACUGAGACACGGCCCAAACUCCUACGGGAGGCAGCAGUGGGGAAUAUUGGACAAUGGGGGCAACCCUGAUCCAGCCAUGCCGCGUGAGUGAUGAAGGCCCUAGGGUUGUAAAGCUCUUUUGUGCGGGAAGAUAAUGACGGUACCGCAAGAAUAAGCCCCGGCUAACUUCGUGCCAGCAGCCGCGGUAAUAC